GCAUCCAUGGCUGAAUGGUGAAAGCGCCCACCAACCUAGAAAGGCAAAAUGGGUCAAACAGUAGGUUCAAUUCUUGUCGGAUGCA
rfam:Triticum aestivum genome assembly, contig: Triticum_aestivum_CS42_TGACv1_scaffold_457994_5DS